rnacentral:rRNA from 1 species
UACGCAGGGGGCAAGCGUUGUCCGGAAUCAUUGGGCGUAAAGAGCGUGUAGGCGGCCCCUUAAGUCCUGCGUGAAAUCCUGCGGCUCAACCGCAGACGGUCGUGGGAAACUGGAGGGCUAGAGUGCGGGAGAGGAGAGUGGAAUUCCCGGUGUAGCGGUGAAAUGCGCAGAUAUCGGGAAGAACACCCGUGGCGAAGGCGGCUCUCUGGAACGCAACUGACGCUGAGACGCGAAAGCGUGGGGAGCAAACAGG